AACCGGAUUAGAUACCCUGGUAGUCCACGCUGUAAACGAUGUCGAUUUGGAGGUUGUGCCCUUGAGGCGUGGCUUCCGGAGCUAACGCGUUAAAUCGACCGCCUGGGGAGUACGGCCGCAAGGUUAAAACUCAAAUGAAUUGACGGGGGCCCGCACAAGCGGUGGAGCAUGUGGUUUAAUUCGAUGCAACGCGAAGAACCUUACCUACUCUUGACAUCCAGAGAACUUUCCAGAGAUGGAUUGGUGCCUUCGGGAACUCUGAGACAGGUGCUGCAUGGCUGUCGUCAGCUCGUGUUGUGAAAUGUUGGGUUAAGUCCCGCAACGAGCGCAACCCUUAUCCUUUGUUGCCAGCGGUUCGGCCGGGAACUCAAAGGAGACUGCCAGUGAUAAACUGGAGGAAGGUGGGGAUGACGUCAAGUCAUCAUGGCCCUUACGAGUAGGGCUACACACGCGCUACAAUGGCGUAUACAAAGAGAAGCGACCUCGCGAGAGCAAGCGGACCUCAUAAAGUACGUCGUAGUCCGGAUUGGAGUCUGCAACUCGACUCCAUGAAGUCGGAAUCGCUAGUAAUCGUAGAUCAGAAUGCUACGGUGAAUACGUUCCCGGGCCUUGUACACACCGCCCGUCACACCAUGGGAGUGGGUUGCAAAAGAAGUAGGUAGCUUAACCUUCGGGAGGGCGCUUACCACUUUGUGAUUCAUGACUGGGGUGAAGUCGUAACAAGGUAACC
rnacentral:rRNA from 1 species